CAACAGUAGCAAUGCUUUUUUAGCGCCACUUUGUGUACACAUACGUGUACAUCGAGGAGUUUUUUCUUGUGGAUAAAAUACAAAUUCAAUACAAUACAAUUAUUGCGAGACUAAUAGAAAGUAGUUCCCCGUUCGGAGACAAGCAAAUGCGCGCGCAACGGUGUGCUACGACAGACAACAAAAAUAUCCGUGCGUACUUCAUAGCAGACCGAGCCUUCGAGGAGUCGACAGCCUGCCAGACAAUUAAUUGUUCCAGGCCCUCUGCUAGUAGUAGAAGUGAGGAGUCUAUAUACGCUUUACGUGUUACGUAUAAUCGAUCCCGGUGUCAGUCGAGUAUCGUUAGUGCGGCGGAAGUCUCUGUUGUUGAUUAACCGGCGAAGUUUGACAUAAAUUAAACCGUGAAGAUGGUGUCCGGUGGUAUGACGUGCGUCAAGUACCUGCUAUUUCUCUUCAAUCUCGUAUUCGCCAUAACCGGAAUCGUUUUCAUUUCGGUCGGCGCCGUUAUACUCGGCUUGUAUAAGGGGUACAGUAACUUUGUGGAUCCGUGGUUCUUCGCCGCUCCCGUUCUCAUGAUUGUCGUUGGAAUCAUCGUAUUCCUAGUAUCGUUUUUCGGCUGCUGCGGAGCUGUCAAGGAGAACCACUGCAUGAUCAUAACGUUCUCUCUUCUAUUGCUCUUGAUAUUUGCACUGGAAAUUGGUGCCGGCAUCUCUGGAUACAUGAUGCGGAACGAAGUCGGAACGAUGCUUGACAAUCAUCUGAAUACUACCAUGUCGGAGUAUUUAACUAACAAAGAAGCCGAGAAUUCGUGGGACAUCAUGCAGCAUGACUUGGACUGCUGCGGUAUGGAUGGCCCAAAGGACUGGGAGAAGGUAUUUAAAACCACCGAGUUACCAGAGGCAUGCUGCACCGAACUUGAUAUGGAUAAGAAAUGUGAUGAAAACUUAAUUGAGAUUCGUCAUGAGGGCUGUAGUAUGAAAUUACAAAACGCAAUUGAAGAUAAUGCUGUGAUCAUCGGUGGUGUGGGUAUUGGAAUUGCUCUGGUUCAACUGAUCGGAGUAAUCUUUGCGUGCUGCUUGGCUCGCUCCAUCCGGCGCGAGUAUGAGACUGUGUAAGCGUUUACAGAUAUGAAUUUUCACUGUAAUCUGCCUACCAUGCACUUUCUACAAAUUCUGUUCUGUCACACUGUCUACACCAUGUUCCUAUCUUGAAACCACAGCACACUGAUCCGCCACCACUUAGGAGGCACAUUUCAUUAUAUUGUUCAUCAUACAUUGUUGGCUGGUUAUUCAUACGGUUCAUUACGAUUGUAGUUUUCUUGUGCUUACGAACAUGUAACAAAAGAGGAAUAGUGGAGCAUUAAACGGAGUGAAAAAAUAAUCAGAGACAACAAUAUUCCAGAAAUUAGUAGAAGAUAAAAAUGCCGAGCUCCUGCCUUACAAAUGUUUCAUAUGUUACUCUUAUGGAUGUACACAAGUAUACGGAGUAUUACCGUACAUGAGUCUUUUGCCUCUCUGCAACGUUGAAUGUGGAAUGAUUAUGGUAAAAUACCAUUAUUCCUCUUUAUACUCUUUAUCUAUCAUACUCACGAGUAAAAAAUAUGUAACGGCUAUCAGUGCGAUUUCUUCCAUAAUUGGAUAUUAAAUUGUCGGCUUGAAUUAUUGCCGUAAAAUAAGUUUAAAGUUCUUACAGCUUGAAUAAUAUUUUCAAUGUGACUAAACCUCGAUAAAUUCUCAAUGCCGUAGUUAAUUGACUGACAACCAGUAUACUUUAUUGCAAAUUUAAUGUCAGAUAUGAAACAAGCAAAAAAUGAUAAUUUAAGGAAAGAGCAUACAACGUCCACACAACUUGCACGAUAGUGUGAUAUGUAUAAGUAUACAUGAGUAAUUUUGUAUUUUACUACAUCUGUAUAUGUAGUUUGAUAUAAAUAAAAGAAAAAAAAAAUACGGCAGAAAAUACAAGUAAAAUCUUUGCCAAAAUGUUAUGUGAAUCAUUGCUGCAAGAAACAUUGAUGAUAUCGAUAUAAAAAAAUUCAGUACUUCUAGGUACUCGGAUUUGUGGCGCAUGUAUGUACAGUACAUACAUACCGCAUGUAAAAGAAAUGGAACAGUAUGAUGCAUAUGGUAACAUCACUCUUGUCAAUAAUUCAGUAUCUGUGUCAGUGAACUCUCCUCAUAUAUUGAUUCUCUUUGUUUCCUUAGAUAGGUUGGCACUGGCUACUUGUUCUCGAACUAGAAGUAGCGAGUUGUAAUUAAAAUUUUGAACCCCCUUUUCCACAUAUUUCAAAGUAAUCAUUUUAUGUUUCAUUCUCCAACUUAAUUAUGAAACCUAUGCAGUACAUGCAAUUUUCACAGUAACGGAACAAUUUUAGUAAUUACAUGCACUAAAGUCAUAGUAACGUAGUACGGGAAAGAAUUGAAUUUCGAUCAAUAUAUGCGUAAUAUUACCGUGCCAUCUGUAAAUUCGUUGAACCAUAAACUCAAAAGAGACUCAAAGUUGCAAUUCAUGGUCUUAUUUCUUUAUAUUAGUAUAACGCUUCAUAUCCUAGUUUUAUUUACGUCAUUUUAUGUUACUAAAGCUAAAGAAAAUAACAACUAACGUUACUGAUCUAAGUCAUUAAGAAUUUAGAAAGUUUGACAAUUAUUGAAGCAGACUACGGAUGUUCGAUUUUUCCUCGAUUGCCUAAACAGUAAAAAUUAGUGAAUGUUUCAUUCGACUGUAAUGGAAGCAUACCCUGAUUUAUUGAGAGAUAAAUUUCGAUAUCACAAUGAGAUACGUACUUUUGGUCUUUGAAUGAAAUUUAUUGGGGAUAAUUAUAUGGAACAAUUGUGUAAAACAUUAAUUACUCGAACAUCCGAUUAAGCCAUGAUGAACACUGUUUUUUACUUUCGUCAAAAUUAAAAUUUCAUUCUUCGUCAACACAUAAGCAGUAAAAUAAUCUGUUCACACAUCAUAGUGAAAGUAGUCAGUCAUGUGUAUGAAGUGAUACAUAUGUUGCAAGAGAAGAAUUACAAUAUAAAUCUAAAUAUAGUAUAUGUUAGAAUAGUUUCUUGAGAGUUUUUUAGUCAUGGGUACAAUAUGGUACACAUAAUUUCGCUUAUUUAAGAUUGUUUACAGCACUAUAGCUCUAAGUUUCCUCCUUUAAAAUUUGUAUUACCUAUUAAUUAAAUCAUGAUCGCUUCAUCAAUGAUUUAGAUCCAUCCCCGGUGCACGUGUAUCAGAACGACAUUUACAAUCAGACUUCAGAUGAGACUGACAAUUAUUACGAUAAUCAGUAUUAACAACUUAAAAUAUUUUUCCAUGCGAGAUAUUGUAUACAUAAAUUUAUACGACAUAAAAUUUUGAUCGCUCGUGGUAAAUUCCGAAAAAAAAAAUAAAAAUUAUAAAAAAAUAACGAAGGAGGGAAAAUGUUCUCUAUCCAUUGAAAUUAUUACUCAGUGUACACAUUGAAUGUAAUAUUUUGUUUACUCGUACUUUAUAACUUUUUGGCUACUCAUUUAUAAGGAUCUAAUACUGUCUAUCCUUAGCACAUAUUUGUCUAGCUAUUAUAACUCAUUAAAAUAAAUAAACUAUAAUUACGUAUUCGUUUAUUUCAAACCUGUUAUUUAAUGUCUACUUUUGAAAUAUUUGAUUUUACUGGUUUACCAUUUUCUUAUAAUUGUACGAAGAUGUAACAAAAAAUCAGAGACCACUGGUUAUGGAAAGAAAUAAGUGACACGAUUAUGUAUAAUGUAGUUUAUUUAAUCUUGAUAUCAAUGCCACUAACUAGCAGACUAACAUUUACCAUAUUGAAUAUUAAACGAAACUUGAACGUUUCUUCUACACAGAGUCAUUCAGAAUAGGAAGUUGCAGUAAUUGCACUUAGUACCACAGCCCACAUUUGUAUUUAAAAUGUCCACAUAAUAGUUUUACGCGUGAAAUAACUCUGUAACAAUUUUCCACAACUUCCAUUACUGCAUCGCUCGUGAAAUCAUAAUAAUGAUAAUGUUCAAUAAUAAUUAUAUAAAUGAUAAUGAUGAGGGAAUCUUCAAUGCACAAGGAAAUCAGAGAGAUUCACAUUAAUUACGAAAUCAAUAAAUAAUUAUUAAAUUGAGAGAUCUCUGACAGUUGAUAAUUUCGAAUUAGCUUAUAUAGAAAUACAUAUAUUUAAAAAAUACAAUU
rnacentral:misc_RNA from 1 species